rnacentral:lncRNA from 1 species
ACUAGUCGAUCAGUCUCUCUUGGUCUAUCCAUCUUCAGAUCGAAACAAACCAGUCGAUCCCUCUUCAGAAACAUACCAGUCUCUCUUCCUCUUCAGAUAAAAAUUCAGGUUGGUUUUUGUUUCCUUACUCUUCUAGAUUUUUUUUUUUCUGGGUUGGUGAAUUUAAUGGAUUGUAGCUGCUAAUCCUUCUCCAAUGGAACAAGAUAAUCCUUCAGUGGCAAUUAUGAGCUGAGGUUAAGUGAGUUACUAAAGCUUAAGUUGAUGUGUCUUGUUUUUGAAGUGAGUUGGUUUCCAAUUUCUGGUUACCACAUGGUUGUUGUUCAAAUGUAGUUUUGACUUUUGAGAACUGUUGAGAAGUUUGUUUUGUUUUAAUGCAGUGUAAAAUGGGAUCCUAGAAACAAAUACUUCCGUCGUUUGUUGAAGGGCCUUUGUUGAAUAGAAGAUGGUAGUGUAGGGAGAGAAUAAAAGAGGGAUAUUGUAGUUGGCUGUUAUGUGGCUUUUGGAUGGUUUAUUCCCUGUUUGUAAAAGUAUGAUUCUCAUACAUGAAAUUUAUGGUUCUCUUAAUGUUCAUGCUAGU